GACGAACGCUGGCGGCGUGCCUAAUACAUGCAAGUAGGACGCAGUUGAGAACGGGUGAGUAACGCGUAGGUAACUGCCUAGUAGAGGGGGAUAACUAUUGGAAACGAUAGCUAAUACCGCAUACGAGUAGAUGGACCUGCGUUGUAUUAGCUAGUAGGUAGGGUAAUGGCUUACCUAGGCAACGAUACAUAGCCGACCUGGGGGGGUAAUCGGCCACCCUGGAACUGAGACACGCCCCAGAUUCCUCCGGGAGGCGGCAGUGGGGAAGCUGGGGCAAUGGGGGCAACCCGAACCGAGAAAUGCCGCGGGAGUGAAGAGGGUUUUCGAUCGUAAAGCUCUGUUGUUAAGGAAGCGGUACUUAACCAGAAAGGGACGGCUAACUACGUGCCAGCAGCCGCGGUAAUUC
rnacentral:rRNA from 1 species